AGAGUUUGAUUCUGCUCAGAACGAACGCUGGCAGCGUGGAUUAGGCAUGCAAGUCGAACGGGAAUCCGCGUUGUUCAAUUCUUCGGAAGAGAACACGUGGAGGAGAGUGGCGGAAGGGUGAGGAACGCGUGGGCAACCUGCCCCUGAGUUGGGGAUAACUCUUCGAAAGGAGAGCUAAUACCGAAUGUGGUCAUCCAUCGCAUGAUGGAAGGAUUGAAGGCGGGGAUCCGCUUCGGCGGACCUGUCGCUCGGGGAGGGGCCCGCGUGCCAUCAGCUUGUUGGUGAGGUAAAGGCUCACCAAGGCUUACGGCUAGCUGGUCUGAGAGGAUGGUCAGCCACACUGGGACUGAGACACUGCCCAGACUCCUACGGGAGGCUGCAGUCGAGGAUCAUUUGCAAUGCGCGAAAGCGUGACAAUGCGACGCUGCGUGGAGGAUGAAGGCCUUCGGGUUGUAAACUCCUGUCAUUCGGGAAAAAUCCCCUGGCCCUGAACAGGGGUUGGGAUUGAUGUUACCGAAAGAGGAAGCCACGGCUAACUCUGUGCCAGCAGCCGCGGUAAUACAGAGGUGGCUAGCGUUGUUCGGAUUUACUGGGCGUAAAGGGUGCGUAGGCGGCGUGAUUAGUCGGAUGUGAAAGCCCACGGCUCAACCGUGGAACUGCGUCCGAAACUGCCAUGCUAGAGUGCAGGAGGGGAGAGCGGAAUUCUUGGUGUAGCGGUGAAAUGCGUUGAUAUCAAGAAGAACGCCGGUGGCGAAGGCGGCUCUCUGGAAUGUUACUGACGCUGAAGCACGAAAGCUGGGGGAGCAAACAGGUUUAGAUACCCUGGUAGUCCCAGCUGUAAACGGUGUGCACUUGGUGUGGGGGGUAUUGACCCCCCCCGUGCCGGAGCUAACGCGUUAAGUGCACCGCCUGGGGAGUACGGCCGCAAGGCUAAAACUCAAAGAAAUUGACGGGGGCCCGCACAAGCGGAGGAGCAUGUGGCUUAAUUCGAUGCAAUGCGAAGAACCUUACCAGGGCUUGACAUGCAGCUGCUUCCCUCCUGAAAGGGAGGGGUCCUUCGAGGGUGCUGCACAGGUGCUGCAUGGCUGUCGUCAGUUCGUGCCGUGAGGUGUUGGGUUAAGUCCCGCAACGAACGCACCCCUGUGUUUAGUUGCCACCGCAGGUGAUGAGCCUGCGAGCACUCUAGACAGACUGCCCGUACAAGCGGGAGGAAGGUGGGGACGACGUCAAGUCAGUAUGGCCCUUACGUCCUGGGCUGCACACGUGCUACAAUGGUUGGUACAGAAGGAAGCGAUACCGCGAGGUGGAGCAAAUCCUGAAAACCGGCCCCAGUUCGGAUUGGAGUCUGUAACUCGACUCCAUGAAGUUGGAUUCGCUAGUAACGGCGCAUCAGCUACGGCGCCGUGAAUACGUUCCCGGGCCUUGUACACACCGCCCGUCACAUCAUGAAAGCCGUCUGCACCCGAAGUCGCUGAGCCAACCCCUUUUCGGGGAGGCAGGUGCCGAAGGUGCGGGUGGUG
rnacentral:rRNA from 1 species